rnacentral:piRNA from 1 species
UUUCAAAUAUUAGGAUUGAAA